UUUUUUUUUUUUUUUUUUUUUUUUGUCUUGCCAUUUCUUGGGCCGCUCCCGCGGCAUAUGGGAUGUUCCCAGGCUAGGGGUCUAAUCGGAGCUGUAGCCACCAGCCUAUGCCAGAGCCACAGCAAUGCGGGAUCCGAGCCGUGUCUGCGACCUACACCACAGCUCACGGCAACGCCGGAUCGUUAACCCACUGAGCAAGGGCAGGGACCGAACCCGCAACCUCAUGGUUCCUAGUCGGAUUCGUUAACCACUGCGCCACGACGGGAACUCCUCUUUGCUAUUUUAAAUAGUGUUAUGAAGACUGGGACAGUACUACAUUCCCUUUACGAUUCUAUAAAAAUUAACCUCGAUUCCAGACAAAAUCUCCAAACACUACAAGAAAAUAUGUAUCUCAACUUUUCAUUGCUCUUUGAAGCCUGUCUUUUAUCUGACCACAGUUAUCAGUUUUAUCUCCAAAUCAGUUAACAGCAGUUCAGGAUGUUUUUAUUAAAUGAUGGCGUGGCUAUUGAGAAGAACCAUUUCUUUGUUCUCAACUCCUUAUCUUCUGGGCCAAAAGCAACCACUGCUCUUGCUCUUCCUACACUACCACUCACAACAGCUAAGGCCAGUUAUUCCAGGUUUUCUUUGACCUUCCUUCUCAUUUUCAGAGAGAUCUUACCUAUUUAAAGAUGAUUUGUUGAAACCAAAUGAGCAGUCACGGAAAUGUAAGAAGCCACAGAACGUCCUCUUUCAUUUACAAAAUCUGCAUUCAAAGAUAGAUGCUUUUAGAGAGAGGCUGUUACUUAAGUAUAGCAAAUAUAUACCUGUUUGUUUUCCAAGUAAUAAAAAUUUCUCACUGGCCUAUCAUAAUUGCAAUGGAUCUUCAAAAAGCUGGGCAAAGUGAGAAAUGGGCAUCGGCAAGAACCAUUCGUAUUAACAUGUACCUCUUUUGAUAGUUUAUUAAAAAUACAAAGAUUGAGGGUGGGGAGAAUUGGAGCUGGGGGAGGCAGUUGCAUUUUAACUCUUUCCUAUGACUUCAUUAAAAGAAUUUUCACUUCAACAGAUGUUUCUAUAAUCAGAGCUGAGAUCUAAUUUAUUUUUGGAAAACAGAGAAAAUGAAACUGUUAUGAAUAGUCUUGUUUCAGGCAAUCAAAAGAGAAUGGCACAAGAAAUCUAGAAUUUGAUUUGUUUUUCAUAGGAACGGUUCAAAGAACAUCUGUGUUUAUGCCAUGAAUCCUUCUGUAUAGGGCUCUCCCUUAGAAGUUUUACUUAGAGCUGAGUCCAUUGAUCUGCAAUUUGGUAAACUUGAGGUUUUUGAAGGGCAGCCAAAGUUCCACUUAGUUUCUCAACAGCUCUCUCUCUCAAACCUGAGAACAUCUAUCUUGUUCCUAGAGAACUUAAGAUACAUUUUAAUACUCAGGACAACACUGUGACUUGCAGACAAAUGCCAGGCCGCUUUAUUGAGACACUUGAGUUCUUUUAAAGAAAUACUUCAUUUAAGGAGUUCCCGUCACGGCUCAGUGAUUAACGAACACGACUAUCACCCAUGAGGGCAUGGGUUCUAUCCCUGGCCUCGCGCAGUGGAUUAAGGAGCUGGCAUUGCCAUGAGCUGUGAUGUAGGUCGCAGAUGCAGCUCCAAUUCCAUGUUGUGUGGCUGUGGUGUAGGUUGGCAGCUGCAGCUCGAGCUGGACCCCCAGCCUGGGAACUUCCACAUGUUGCAGGUGCAGCCCUAAAAAGACAAAAAAGAAAAAGAAAUAUUUCAUUUAGUUUCUUAAUGAGCAUGUCUGUCUUUAGUGGAAGAAAUAUGCCUAAAAACACAAGUGCUAUGUCCCAUGAGAAUAUCUAAGUUUUAAAUCUAGCCAGGGUUUGGGUCUUAGACAUGCAUAUGUGAUUCACUCAAGACUUAAGAGAAUAACUAUUUUUUUAAAAAAAUCCACCCAGCUGUUAAUCAACUGGAAAAAUUAAUCAACUGGAAUAUUUUUCCAACAUAAUCUUGGUUAUUUCAGAGUAGUUUCCAGGUGGUAGUGCUUCUCAUACAUUUCCAAUUAAACAAUGAAAUUUCUGAUAAAGGGAACCUUAAAUAUCACAUAACAUGAAAGAAUUAGGGAUAAAGUAAUUAGUACAGGGCCUGGCACAAACAACUCAAUAAACAACAGCUGGUGGUUCAGGAGGGCAGUUCUGGUAGCAAUUACAGUAGUCAUCCACCCUCUCCUCCCCAAAGCCGUUCAUUUUACAGAUGAGGCCCCCAGAUUAAAUCAUUUGCCCAAGGUCACAAAGCUGCCUAGUGGCAGAGUUGAAAUUGGAAUGCAGGCCCCCUUAUAAGUUUAAUACUAUUUCCCCAAUAGCUUGGGGGGAAUAAUCUUUUCAAUUAUAAUGAGCUAUUUUGUCAUAUAAAAGGGCCUCAUAGAGAAGGGCUAACCUUCAUUUCUAUCUUCGGGUGACAAGCCUUCUCAGUUUCUAUCCCAAGUAACUUGUAAUUUCGGAACAUGAUGGGCUUUUGCUCAGUGCUCACCUCCUUUUAACCUCUUUUCACACCAUCAUGACACAGUCCUUUAGUCUGAGGGACACCACAGUAAGCCAACUCCUCUCUCUCUCUGUUUACUCCUUCUGUGUUUACUUUUUCCCUCCUUCCUGGUGUACUCAAAGCAUGGACAUUUUCAGAGCUGAACCCUUGAAUCUCUGUUCUUUCUUCUUCAGAGAUCACACAUAUCCCCAAGUAUCCUCCCUAUGAAGUUAAUUCUAAGAGGUCUUCAGCCCUCAUGUCCUUCUUGAAACCUAGCAGCAAAUUUCAUUUCCUAUUGGUUGUUACCACCUAAAUGUUCCAAUAUGAUCUCAAAAUUACUAGGUCGAAUCAACAUCAUCAUCUUCCCCUCCAAAGGCACUCAAAUCUUCACUUUCAAUGUUUAUUAACAAUUCCGUAAUUGUCCCAGUCUCCAAACCAUGAAGACAUGGUUGAGCCUCCUCACCCUUCCCAAAUGAUUCAUUACAAGUUCAAUUAUACCUUGUCUAUUUUUCCUUUCUUUCCUCUCUCACUAAUAUCACUUUAGUUCAGUUCCUCACCAGCAAGGCCAGAACUACACCAAGAGCCUGUAAAUGGUUGGCUCUGGCUUUCUUCCUCACCAUCUUACAAACUCCCUGAGGGUAAUUUACCUUCCUGAGUCACAUUCUACCAUAAUGUUCCUCAAAUCAAAUCUAUCCAACUAUUUCACUGCACCUACGAGACAGGAUCUAAAUGCUCUGACUUUGUAAUCAAACUCUCCACCAUCUUUCCCUGUUCUCCAUGUACAUUCAAUUUCUCAGCAAAAUGCAAAGUUACAUUAUCAAGUGUGUGUGUUUAAUGCUUCUCAUUAGUGAGGCAAUGAGAAAAGGAGUCCCAUGCUCAGAAUUAAUGUGAUGGUAUUUCUUUCUUAUGAAAACAAAUAUUAAAUUUAAACAACCUAAUACUUUUUUAGAAUUGAUGUCACUAUAACAUUUUCCAAAGGAAGAAAUUCACUUUCUAGAAAGGUUUUUUAUAGUUAUCUUCCACAGAUAAUUCAGACUAAAAUUCAGUCUCAAUAAUUGUACUAAGUCUGUUUCAUUUUUCCCUAACAAAAAGUUAAGGAAGUCUGUCGAACACCUACUGGUUAGGGAACACAGAAUUUAACAAUUUGCCAACUGAGCUGUUUUUUGUUGUUUCUUUUUUUAAAUCGGUGGUUACUUAAGUUUACUAGAGUCAGUCUCUCCCUUUCUUCCGUAUUAUUAACAAACACUAAAUGAAUUCUAACACUGUGUUGAGGGGACUAGUAUCACGAAUACUCUUUGGGGAAGGCUAUUAGUUAAAUCCCUCUGCAAAGAAACACAUCCACAAUAACAACUGUUUGAUUUUCUCAUCUUUUGUUUUUCUUUUAAGUAUCUCUUGUUCUAAAAAAAAAAAAAGAAAAACAAAAACCUCUCUCUAAUGCAAAUUAAAUCUCCACAUAAUCACCACUUCUUAACUAUUCGAUUGACGUGCACUGAAAAUUUUUCUAUGUUCUUUCGGCAGUUUGGUAGACCAGUGUGCACUUCAAUCAAUGCUGGUGUUAAUGGAAAAUGGUAAAACACUAGGGAAAGAAAUGUGGCAAAAUUACAUGUGAUUUUAGCCUAUAAUCCAACAAUUUCACUUCUAAAAGUCUAUUCCAAAGUAAUACUGGUUAAAAAGACAAAAGCCCCUUUUUGUAAGACUAGUAAUAGCAAAGGAAUGGAAAUAACUUGUAAGUGAAUUAAAACAUCUUUCUCUUGCUCAACAUCUACUUCCUUCCUUUAAAAAAG
rnacentral:lncRNA from 1 species